CGAGCGUGGAAAGCUGGAUUAUGUCUUUAUUUUAUCGGUAAAUAAUCGUGUGAUUUUGUGUUUGGUGCUUGUUUUGAUCAUCUGACAAAUGAACAGACGAAAUCGAAUCCCUGAAAUUAUAAACAUAAAAUAAAUCGAACACAUUCCAGAACAUCGCAGAUUUCUGGUUUUCCAGUAUUUUGCAGUUAAGCGAGAAUCAUGACUCUAAACGAUCCCGAUCGAUAUUGAAGACUCCAUUCACACAGGCCUGGUCCCAGCCAAAUCUAUGGAAGUGUAAAGAACAUGCCACCCAAAAUAAUAUGUCGAUUAAUCACCAUAUUCCUUGUGGUUUUAUAAUUUUUUUAUACCGAGAAAUCUGUAGAUUUAGUCAUGAUGAAAUUUAAUAAAUAAAUUAAACACACUA